GGCCGUGAAAGCAUGGCAGCUGAGGAGGCCGAGGUGGUUUCACCUCUGAUUGUGGACACAGCCCCAGACACUUCAGGAACAGCCGCGGCCUCACUAGCCGCAGCGGUGUCUGCUGCUGCGGCAGCGGCUAGGACUGGAUCGCAAGCCCAGGUUUCCAAGGCCGCUCUGGCUGCUAAGCUCAUGUCGCUCAGCGGCGUGUUCGCCGUGCACAAGCCCAAAGGGCCCACUUCAGCCGAGCUGCUGAACCGGCUGAAGGAGAAGCUGCUGGCAGAAGCUGGAUUGCCAUCUCCAGAAUGGAACAAGAGGCAAAAGCAGACAUUGAAAGUUGGACACGGAGGGACACUGGACAGCGCAGCGCAAGGUGUUCUGGUGGUUGGGAUUGGAAGAAAAGCCACGGACACACUGGAUUCUACCGGGAAGGUAACAGAGGAGAAGCCAUAUGCUAUUCUGCACUGAAGAAGGAUGGACAGAGACUCUCAACGUUAAUGAAGAGAGGCGAGACUGUUGAGGCCAGGCCAGCCAGGCCAGUGACUGUUCACAGCAUCUCCCUCCUGAAGUACCAGCCACCGUUCUUCACGCUAGAUGUUGAAUGUGGAGGAGGCUUUUACAUCCGAAGCUUGGUCAGUGACAUUGGCAAAGAACUCUCUUCCUGUGCCACCGUGCUGGAGCUGACCCGCACCAAACAGGGGCCCUUUACACUGGCACAGCAUGCGCUCCCCGAAGACAGAUGGACCAUCAAUGACAUCGCACAGUCCCUCAAGCGCUGCACGUCCCUUCUGCCAGAGGAGCUGACGUUUAAAAAAUCCAAAUCCGAGCCGUCCAGUGACCAGGCCUUAAGCUGUGGGUACAUAACUCUAAGGGAGACAAAGAGAGAAGACGACACAGUUAAGACGCUUUGAGCCCGGCCGGGGAGGAUCAUUUCCGGGUUGGUGUAUAUCCUGACCUGACCCAGGAAUGCCCACACACUUCUUCAGGUCUUUGCAAGAUGUCGUAAUGUCUCUGAAUGAUGGAUAUGACUGGAUUCAGAUAAAUAAGUUUUCUGAAU
rnacentral:lncRNA from 1 species